rnacentral:rRNA from 1 species
AUUGAACGCUGGCGGCAUGCCUUACACAUGCGAGUCGAACGGUAACAGGUCUUCGGAUGCUGACGAGUGGCGAACGGGUGAGUAAUACAUCGGAACGUGCCUAGUAGUGGGGGAUAACUACUCGAAAGAGUGGCUAAUACCGCAUGAGAUCUACGGAUGAAAGCAGGGGAUCGCAAGACCUUGUGCUACUAGAGCGGCCGAUGGCAGAUUAGGUAGUUGGUGGGAUAAAAGCUUACCAAGCCGAGGAUCUGUAGCUGGUCUGAGAGGACGAUCAGCCACACGGGGACUGAGGCACGGACCAGACUCCUACGGGAGGCAGCAGUGGGGAAUUUUGGACAAUGGGCGCAAGCCUGAUCCAGCAAUGCCGCGUGCAGGAUGAAGGCCUUCGGGUUGUAAACUGCUUUCAGGAGGGACGAAGCUACUCGGGUUAAUAGCCCAGAGGGUGACGGUACCUCCAGAGGAAGCCCCGGCUAACUACGUGCCAGCCGCCGCAGUAA